UACGUAGGGCGCAAGCGUUGUCCGGAAUUAUUGGGCGUAAAGAGCUCGUAGGCGGUCUGUCGCGUCCGUUGUGAAAACUCGAGGCUCAACCUCGGGCUUGCAGGCGAUACGGGCAGACUUGAGUACUGCAGGGGAGACUGGAAUUCCUGGUGUAGCGGUGAAAUGCGCAGAUAUCAGGAGGAACACCGGUGGCGAAGGCGGGUCUCUGGGCAGUAACUGACGCUGAGGAACGAAAGCGUGGGUAGCAAACAGG
rnacentral:rRNA from 1 species